AGAGAACAUCAUGGUCAUUCCUUAAAGAAGAUGAAGAGAGAGGUGCAAAGGGAGAGAGGAGACAUGAGCAAAACACAGCUUUUAGGUACGUUUGUAACAGCUUAAAUAAUCAAAAGACCUUUAAAACAUCAUCAGUCUUAAAAAGGGAGCUUGGCCUCAAAACACACAAGCAGAGCCAGGCAUGGUGGCUCAUGUCCAUAAUCCCAGUGCUUCCGGAGGCCAAGGUGGGAGGAUCACUGGAGCCCAGGAGUUCGAGACCGGCCUGGGCAAUAUAGUGAGACCCUGUCUUUACAAAGCAGAAGAUUUUGAAACACUUUGUAUUUCAAAGUACUGGUGCUUUGAAUAAAUAUUCAAUGAAAGAAUAACCUAAAAGUAAUUAAUAUCUAUAAAUAAAAUCAAUAUCUUACGUCAAAUUGUUAGUACUAGGUAAAAUUGUGCUCCUCUUCUCUGGUUUUUAUUGCUCACAGAAAUUAAAGAGUGAGAUAUAUUAUAGCAAGAUGGAAUAACACAGCUUCCUGCUGGGGCUUCCUGUGGAGGAGGUGAGUGGUAUCUCAGGCCCGCGUCCCCCACACCUGGCUGGCACAGGUGCCUCGUACCUGGCUGCGUGCCAGCUCCUCGCACGCUCUGCACCACCGGUUCGGGUCCCAUGGCAGCCGACAUGCCGUGGGCCUCCUCCAGGCCAUCCAUGCGUGGGACCGGCCCCCUCAGCUUCAU
rnacentral:lncRNA from 1 species